AUUGAACGCUGGCGGCAUGCCUUACACAUGCAAGUCGAACGGUAACGCGGGGCAACCUGGCGACGAGUGGCGAACGGGUGAGUAAUGCAUCGGAACGUGCCUGGUAGUGGGGGAUAACUGCUCGAAAGAGCAGCUAAUACCGCAUACGACCUGAGGGUGAAAGGGGGGGAUCGCAAGACCUCUCGCUAUCAGAGCGGCCGAUGUCGGAUUAGCUAGUUGGUGGGGUAAAGGCCCACCAAGGCGACGAUCCGUAGCUGGUCUGAGAGGACGACCAGCAACACUGGGAGUGAGACAAGGCCCAGACUCCUACGGGAGGCAGCAGUGGGGAAUUUUGGACAAUGGACGAAAGUCUGAUCCAGCCAUGCCGCGUGCGGGAAGAAGGCCUUCGGGUUGUAAACCGCUUUUGUCAGGGAAGAAAUCUUCUGGACUAAUACUCUGGGAGGAUGACGGUACCUGAAGAAUAAGCACCGGCUAACUACGUGCCAGCCGCCGCCGUAAAAC
rnacentral:rRNA from 1 species